CGUCACCUAGAGAUGGAUCCGCGGUGCAUUAGUUAGUUGGUGGGGUAAAGGCCUACCAAGACAAUGAUGCAUAGCCGAGUUGAGAGACUGAUCGGCCACAUUGGGACUGAGACACGGCCCAAACUCCUACGGGAGGCUGCAGUAGGGAAUCUUCCACAAUGGGCGAAAGCCUGAUGGAGCAACGCCGCGUGUGUGAUGAAGGCUUUCGGGUCGUAAAGCACUGUUGUAUGGGAAGAACAGCUAGAAUAGGAAAUGAUUUUAGUUUGACGGUACCAUACCAGAAAGGGACGGCUAAAUACGUGCCAGCAGCCGCGGUAAUACGUAUGUCCCGAGCGUUAUCCGGAUUUAUUGGGCGUAAAGCGAGCGCAGACGGUUUAUUAAGUCUGAUGUGAAAGCCCGGAGCUCAACUCCGGAAUGGCAUUGGAAACUGGUUAACUUGAGUGCAGUAGAGGUAAGUGGAACUCCAUGUGUAGCGGUGGAAUGCGUAGAUAUAUGGAAGAACACCAGUGGCGAAGGCGGCUUACUGGACUGCAACUGACGUUGAGGCUCGAAAGUGUGGGUAGCAAACAGGAUUAGAUACCCUGGUAGUCCACACCGUAAACGAUGAACACUAGGUGUUAGGAGGUUUCCGCCUCUUAGUGCCGAAGCUAACGCAUUAAGUGUUCCGCCUGGGGAGUACGACCGCAAGGUUGAAACUCAAAGGAAUUGACGGGGACCCGCACAAGCGGUGGAGCAUGUGGUUUAAUUCGAAGCAACGCGAAGAACCUUACCAGGUCUUGACAUCCUUUGAAGCUUUUAGAGAUAGAAGUGUUCUCUUCGGAGACAAAGUGACAGGUGGUGCAUGGUCGUCGUCAGCUCGUGUCGUGAGAUGUUGGGUUAAGUCCCGCAACGAGCGCAACCCUUAUUGUUAGUUGCCAGCAUUCAGAUGGGCACUCUAGCGAGACUGCCGGUGACAAACCGGAGGAAGGCGGGGACGACGUCAGAUCAUCAUGCCCCUUAUGACCUGGGCUACACACGUGCUACAAUGGCGUAUACAACGAGUUGCCAGCCCGCGAGGGUGAGCUAAUCUCUUAAAGUACGUCUCAGUUCGGAUUGUAGUCUGCAACUCGACUACAUGAAGUCGGAAUCGCUAGUAAUCGCGGAUCAGCACGCCGCGGUGAAUACGUUCCCGGGUCUUGUACACACCGCCCGUC
rnacentral:rRNA from 1 species